UUUCUUUCUUUUAGAAUAGCUGGUUGGGGAAUUCUGGGAGUUGAAGUCCACAUAUCUUAAAGUUGUCAAGAUUGAGAAACACUGUUUUAGAACCUUCCUGCUUGCUGAUCAGGAAUUCUGGGAGUUGUAGAACCAGCACAUCAAGAUUGCCAGGAGGUUGAAAAGUUAUAGCAGUCGAUGAGGAAAAAAAAUUCUUACUUGAGAGUGCCCUUGAAAGCAGACAAGAUUAGGCUAGAUGGUGAAGCAAUCUGAUUCGGGCACAAACAGACUAAGAAAAUGUAGAGCUGAUUAAAUAUCUAUGUUACCAUCUUAACACCCUUUAGAGGAUGAGUUACUGAAGGAGUGUUUGCCUGGCAUAUCUUUCUGGAGUUUGCACACGCCUGUGGAAGCUGGGAAUCAUUCAGCGAACGGAAGACCUGUUGUAUAUUCUCACAACGAAGCCUGAGUCAUUCCUCACACAAAAGCAUCACUAGGUAGUAACAACAUCUGUUCUUGCGCGAAUUGCAUUUAUGAAUGGGCAAAAUCGACGCUGGCCAGAAGCCUUGAUUUCCUUCACUUCAGAAUAGUCCUAUAUGUCUGCACGUGCUUCCUUUUCUCUCCUGUUUUGGGCUACAUCUCCCAUCAUCCCCAGCCCCCACUGGCCUAACCAAUGGAGGGUGUCUUCAAGACAGCAGCCUGAACUUGCAUUAGGGACAAACGCCAGAGGUUUUAUUUUCAGAAUAAUUCAUCCAAGUAAAUAAAAACAGUUUGCACACAC